rnacentral:antisense_RNA from 1 species
GCACCCCGGCUUCGGC